GAUGAACGCUGGCGGCGUGCCUAAUACAUGCAAGUCGAGCGAACGGACGAGAAGCUUGCUUCUCUGAUGUUAGCGGCGGACGGGUGAGUAACACGUGGAUAACCUACCUAUAAGACUGGGAUAACUUCGGGAAACCGGAGCUAAUACCGGAUAAUAUUUUGAACCGCAUGGUUCAAAAGUGAAAGACGGUCUUGCUGUCACUUAUAGAUGGAUCCGCGCUGCAUUAGCUAGUUGGUAAGGUAACGGCUUACCAAGGCAACGAUGCAUAGCCGACCUGAGAGGGUGAUCGGCCACACUGGACCUGAGACACGGUCCAGACUCCUACGGGAGGCAGCAGUAGGGAAUCUUCCGCAAUGGGCGAAAGCCUGACGGAGCAACGCCGCGUGAGUGAUGAAGGUCUUCGGAUCGUAAAACUCUGUUAUUAGGGAAGAACAUAUGUGUAAGUAACUGUGCACAUCUGGACGGUACCUAAGCAGAAAGCCACGGCUAACUACGU
rnacentral:rRNA from 1 species